UCCCAGGAUCCCGGGAUCAUGACCCGAGCCAAAGGCAGAUGCUUAAUAACUGAGCCACCCAGGCACCCCCUAAGUUCUAUGAUUUUCUGUAACCAGUUCUUAGCCACAGUACCGUUCAUUGUAUCUAUGACUUGAACUGUAGUUUUAUUUGCCACAUCGAAAUGCUGUUUAGUUUUGUGUUCCAUCUCCAUUUGCCAUACCAGCAUACUUACCUGUGUACCCAGAUUCAUUACUGAAGUGGUUUCACAGACUCUAAUAUCCAUCCUGGCCAUCAAGUCUGAUCUUCCUAAAACAUUAUGUCAACUCCCCUAAUAGAAAUCAACAAUGGGUUAUAGUCUGCCUUUCCAACUUACCACUAUUCUCAAUCACAUCUUCCCUUGCUCUGGUUGGUCUGGUAAAUACUGACCAUGCUUGUUUUUGCUUCUGUGUGUUUAUAGACAUUUCUCUUUCUGUCCUCUCACUUAGCAGUUACUCUGAAGCUUCAAAUCCUGAUCAACCUCAGUUAAGCUUAAUUCCUGAAACUAAAAAGUAAACUUCUAAGCCCGUAUAACAGCUCUCUUCUCUGAGGCAUUUAAUUUCAGAAUCUUUAUUACUGUUGAAAGUUUUGUGUUAGUUUUUCCUGCCCAGUGAGGUUUCUGUAGUAUUUGUAUCUCCCAUUCAGCCAAAUGCAGCGCUGACAGUUUAAUAAAUGUGAAGAGAUGGAAAGAACUUUUACUCCUUAAAAGCAUCACAAUAGGACCCUGUUCCACAAACUUCUGGGUAACUGGGUGGAUUAUUGGAGAAAACAAUGGUAAUCUUAAUACUGCAUCAAAUAAUCCCUCCUCAGAUGUGAUGCUAGGAAAUCAAGUUUAAAUGCCUGGGUGGCUUAAGUCUGGUUGAGUGGUUGAGCAUCCGACUCUUGGUUUCAGCUCAGGUCGUGAUACCUGGGUUGUGAGGUUGGGCUCUGUGCUCAGCCGAGUCCACUUGGGAUUCAUUCCCCCUCCUCCGCUGCCCUCUCAAAAGAAAUGCUAGCAUAAGCCAUGUAUAAUGGGGGAAGUAAAUGUCCCAAAGGUCAGUCUUGGAAAGUCAAGAAGAAAGUUGGUCUUUUGCAAGCUGUGCAUACUUUCUGAGUAUUGAUCACCAAGAAUUGGUGCUGUUAGGUCUAAGAGUAGAGUGGUUCCCUCUUGCUUCCUCCUGUGUGUCCUAUUUACAUCAUUCUUAAGCAUGAUUCUCAACAGAAGAAGCCUUAAAUUACUUCCAAAUCUAGUGGUCAUACCUCUGAGAAUUCCUGCAGAUUUGGGGGUUGGAUUAUUUUGGUUCUUUAUUAGUGAAGACAUGGGACACUGGUGGCAUCAUAGGUGAAGGCAUUGAUAGGUGAAGAUUAAUACAGAGUUUAGAAAAGGGGUAGUGUAUUUCCUUGGUUUGGGAGUCAGUGAAUGUGACUCCAGGACUCUGACCCUGGUUACUUAAUUGUCUCAAAGCCAAGAGACUCAACAAACCUUCCCCCACACACAAUACCCUACAAGCAUCCCCAUUUCUUUUGUCUCUAAUUCUUCCACCCCUUCAUGGUCAGCUAAAGGCUUAAACAUUCUUGGACUAAUUGCACUAUAUUUUUGAUUUGCUUUUCUUCAUGUUUAUAUAGGGUCGUGUAUAAUGUAUGUAUUUGCAUAUUGUAUAGUUUUCAUGUAUAUGUGUUUUGCUUCCCCUGGGUACAUGGUAAACUCUGAGAACAAGCACUGUGUUAACUUUUUGACACUUAUUCCAAGAUGGCUGGUAUGCUAAUGUAUACCUUAAUGUUUAUGAAUAAAUAUGUUCAUGAAAUCUUAGGUGCAUUGCAUAGCCUAGAUAAAAUAAUAUGGUCCUCCAAACAUUGGGCUUAUUUCCAAAGUCGUGGCUUCAAGGGUUCAUGCCCUUGCUACUUCUUUUUAUGGAAAGUUUUAAGGGAAAAACGCAAGGGCAUAAGACAAAUACCUUAUUCUCAAGGAAAGUGGUAGCCAACGUCCAUGAAAUAACAUUCAUUUUAAUGCUCAGCUGGUAUUAGCCUCACUUUGCAGUUUGAGGAAAUAGGUUCAAAGAUGUGAAGGUGACGGGCCCAGAACUUGAAUCCUUGUGACAGAUUUAUUACUGUUCUUUUUUAAAAGCCAGCCUUUUACAGCAGGGCGGUUUAUAGGGGCAAGUUAAAUCUUUGACUCGUGAACAUCACCUGUAAUAUCCACCUGAUGCCACCAGGGUGUCCCAUGGUGCUGUCUUUUAUCGUGUUCCUACCCCGGUUGUUGGGGGCUGUUCUGAAGCAGGAGUUCAUUUAGACUCAGUGGCUGAGGCCCAGAGCUCAGCAGCAAGAAAGUGGGGUGUUCAGCUCCCUGACUUUCUAGUAUGCAGUACCGAGCCAGUAUCAGAGAUGCCCUUGCCCUCUUUUAACCCCUCCAGUCAGGCUGGCCUCACAGGACAGCAGGGCCUGGCUAGCAACUCUUAAGUAGGCAACAGCCCCACAAAGGAGAGUAGCUUAGAAAAGACCCCAUAUAUGGGUAAAUGUCUAUAAACAUAUGCAUUUGUUCCGGUAGCUGAGUACACACAAAUUUAUAGUAGUAAAAUAGAUCCACGAGAAAGAUUGAAUUGUUUUACUUACCACUCUAGGUAGAAGAAUUUUAAAAGACAAUGUGUGAAUUCCCACUCUUCAGUUUGCAGUAAAAAUCUGCGUUACACUUAGUCCUGAGUGUACAACCCCUUAGGCUUGAGUUUUGAUACUCAGCAAUCCUACAUGAUAAUCUUUGGUGUCAAAACUGUCACGUGGGAACUAAUGAGGUGAAGUCUCCUACUUAGUAUUAAAGAGCACAAUACCCUCUUAAAUUUUUUUUUUCUUCCAGCGCUCUUUAAGCACUUUGUCUUAACUAGUCUAUAAUUCUCAAGUUUUGGUUUCUCUACUUGAAGAGAUCCUUAAAGUAUCCCCAGUGACUAGUACGGUUUCAGGCAUUUUAAUACAGGUGUUCAAUAAAUACUUGCAUACUGAAAUAGCGAAGCCUGCACAAUAGUUACAGGAUAGUUAAACAUAUGAAGCAUUUCUGUAAGGAAAAGAGUCUACAUUAGGGAUAGGGAGGUCUUUGAUUUGUCCUUAAGAUGAUUAGAAGCCAUUAUGAACUGGGGAAGUAGUCCCUGGGGUGUCCUGACUGGCCUUUCGAAAUCUGAAAUACGUUAUUCUGGGUUGGAAUUAGCACAGCCUGAAUUUGACUUUACCCAUGCAAUAUCUAAGACUGGGUGUUCACCAGGGCUCUUAUGAGCCACCAGGAUAGACUUACUAAAUUAGAGUAAAUGUUACUGAUGGGAGAUGUUGGAUUGGUGGUGCCCUUUCCCCUUUCUGCUCCCUGCCUACACAGGUGUGUUUCCCCUCUCAAAUUCCCGUGGUUUUUCAGGAAGUAACUGGAAUAAAUCCUAAACCUACCUAUAGUAGUCCAGCAUCCUUUUCAAUUUUCUCAUCUCUUUAGUGAGAGAGCUAAUCACAGAUUAUAGUACCAAUUUAGACCCUUCCAUGUGCUUUGCUUAAGUGAUUAGAGUAACUAUCUGAGCUAAAUUAAAUCUAUCAAACGGGGGCUUCCUCAGCCUUCAUGAAUUUUGCUGAGUGUACUAUGUAAGGGACUGGAUGAAUGACGGUAGGAAUAAAGGUUAUCAGUUCCAAUGCAGAUGGUUCUAAUGUCCUUGCGAAGCAUCACUGAGGGAUUUUUUCAUCCCAUAUUAUGAAUCUAGUUCUAAUAGAUUGGUCUGAAGACCCUCUUCCAUAUGUGAAGAGUAAGUAUAUUAUGCCUUUACUAUCUAAAGUGCAAACUACUAAAGGCAGAAAUAAUGUGUAUCUUAGAAUGCCUGUUUCUGGGAUUACCUUACACCCAGUGCUCAGGCAGCAUUUUCACGGUUUGGAUUGACUACUUGCCAUCUGCUCCCCUGAGUAUUCACUGCUGAAUGACAGGAGAGAAAGUGAAAGGAAAGGUGCAGUGGGAGAGGAAGCUGGAAAAAUAAGAGGAAACAACUGGGAGCUGAAGGGGGCCACUUAAUGUUAGGUCAGUAAAACAAAAAGCAGAGGACAGGGUCAGGCUUUGGGGGUAGAGGGCUAAUGUAUUUCUGUGAACUAGUUGAGGAGAGCCUUGUAUGCUUUGUUUAAAAGACUAAAGUUACUUCAGAAGAAAAGUCUAGAAUCUGACCCAUCGUCCCUGUUUACCAUAGUAAAUCGUUCAAGUCAAAAUCAACACUGUCCUCUAGGAAUUCUGGUCUUUGUUCUUCAAUUCUAGGAAAGAGCUUCCUGCCGCUGCUCCCGCAGUCAAGGGUGCGAUGCUUCCAGUAGUGUUUGUGGAUAGCUGGCUGACCUGGUCCUUGAUGUGCUACCUGCUUCUGCUACUGAUCCAUACUGCAGAACUUCUCAUUCAUCCCCAAGGCCUCCAAGCAAUGUCCAAUAGGGAAUCGACUCUAAAAGGAACCAGGCCAACGUUUCCAGCCCCUUCAUUCUGGUGACUGAGGGAAGGAAACAGUGGGAGGGGUUAUACAUGUGUAGUGGAUAGAAGGGAAACACAGACUGUCAGAUUACUAUAUCUCUUUAGUUUCUUUUACGAAUAGAAUUCUGCAACCGUAUUAUUUCUAUUGUGUAAGUAUAGGGGAAGUUCAAGAUGGUGACCUUGAUUAGAAUGUGUCCGGAGAGGAAUAAAUGGAGUGUCUGAGAUAAGAGACAGUUGGUUAUGAAAGAUGUUGAAGUCUUGAAAUAAUGUGACCAUCUGAGGAAUUUUUUUAAGCCAGGGUUUAUAAAAAUAUCACUGAUACAGCCUGCCCCCUCAUUUCCCGCCACAGGAGACUUCUUGGACUUGAGACACUUGUUUAAUAAUAGCUUGUCUCUGAUAUUCCCAGUAGCUACCUCCCUGUGAGGAAAGGAUAGCAAACGUUCAGGACAUCAUCAUACAAAGUUCCAGUAGCAGUGACACCUACGCGGAAGACUUGGAACUGCAAACAGAGGCUGGGGUCACCUCAGUGACAUCUGACGCCGUCCAACCACAAGUUUGAUUUUUGUUUUGUGGGGUGAGGGAGCAGACUGUACUAAAGGACUAAAAUGAUUUCUUGUCUAUA